rnacentral:rRNA from 1 species
UAGGGGAUAUUGCACAAUGGGGGGAACCCUGAUGCAGCGACGCCGCGUGAAGGAAGAAGUAUUUCGGUAUGUAAACUUCUGUCAGCAGGGAAGAAAGAAAAUGACGGUACCUGGAAAAGAAGCCCCGGCUAACUACGUGCCAGCAGCCGCGGUAAUACGUAGGGGGCAAGCGUUAUCCGGAUUUACUGGGUAUAAAGGGAGCGCAGGCGGCGCGCCAAGUCUGGUGUGAAAGCCCGGGGCCCAACCCCGGAACUGCAUUGGAAACUGGCGUGCUGGAGUACCGGAGGGGCAGGCGGAAUUCCUAGUGUAGCGGUGAAAUGCGUAGAUAUUAGGAGGAACACCAGUGGCGGAGGCGGCCUGCUGGACGUGUACUGACGCUGAGGCUCGAAAGCGUGGGGAGCAAACAGG